AUUGAACGCUGGCGGCAGGCCUAACACAUGCAAGUCGAGCGGAUGAAGGGAGCUUGCUCCUGGAUUCAGCGGCGGACGGGUGAGUAAUGCCUAGGAAUCUGCCUGGUAGUGGGGGAUAACGUCCGGAAACGGGCGCUAAUACCGCAUACGUCCUGAGGGAGAAAGUGGGGGAUCUUCGGACCUCACGCUAUCAGAUGAGCCUAGGUCGGAUUAGCUAGUUGUGGGGUAAAGGCCUACCAAGGCGACGAUCCGUAACUGGUCUGAGAGGAUGAUCAGUCACACUGGAACUGAGACACGGUCCAGACUCCUACGGGAGGCAGCAGUGGGGAAUAUUGGACAAUGGGCGAAAGCCUGAUCCAGCCAUGCCGCGUGUGUGAAGAAGGUCUUCGGAUUGUAAAGCACUUUAAGUUGGGAGGAAGGGCAGUAAGUUAAUACCUUGCUGUUUUGACGUUACCAACAGAAUAAGCACCGGCUAACUUCGUG
rnacentral:rRNA from 1 species